AUUGAACGCUGGCGGCAGGCCUAACACAUGCAAGUCGAGCGGGGUUUUCGGACCUAGCGGCGGACGGGUGAGUGAUGCUUAGGAAUCUGCCUAUUAGUGGGUGACAACAUUUCGAAAGGAAUGCUAAUACCGCAUACGUCCUACGGGAGAAAGCAGGGGAUCUUCGGACCUUGCGCUAAUAGAUGAGCCUAAGUCGGAUUAGCUAGUUGGUGGGGUAAAGGCCUACCAAGGCGACGAUCUGUAGCGGGUCUGAGAGGAUGAUCCGCCACACUGGGACUGAGGCCCGGCCCAGACUCCUACGGGAGGCAGCAGUGGGGAAUAUUGGACAAUGAGCGCAAGCCGGAUCCAGCCAUGCCGCGUGUGUGAAGAAGGCCUUAUGGUUGUAAAGCACUUUAAGCGAGGAGGAGGCUACUUUAGUUAAUACCUAGAGAUAGUGGACGUUACUCGCAGAAUAAGCACCGGCUAACUCUGUGCCAGCCGCCGCCGUAA
rnacentral:rRNA from 1 species